GACGAACGCUGGCGGCGUGCUUAACACAUGCAAGUCGAACGGAAAGGCCCUGCUUUUGUGGGGUGCUCGAGUGGCGAACGGGUGAGUAACACGUGAGUAACCUGCCCUUGACUUUGGGAUAACUUCAGGAAACUGGGGCUAAUACCGGAUAGGAGCUCCUGCUGCAUGGUGGGGGUUGGAAAGUUUCGGCGGUUGGGGAUGGACUCGCGGCUUAUCAGCUUGUUGGUGGGGUAGUGGCUUACCAAGGCUUUGACGGGUAGCCGGCCUGAGAGGGUGACCGGGCACAAUGGGACUGAGAUACGGCCCAGACUCCUACGGGAGGCAGCAGUGGGGAAUAUUGCACAAUGGGCGGAAGCCUGAUGCAGAGACGCCGCGUGCGGGAUGACGGCCUUCGGGUUGUAAACCGCUUUCGCCUGUGACGAAGCGUGAGUGACGGUAAUGGGUAAAGAAGCACCGGCUAACUACGUG
rnacentral:rRNA from 1 species